UAAUGCCUAGGAAUCUGCCUGGUAGUGGGGGAUAACGUCCGGAAACGGGCGCUAAUACCGCAUACGUCCUGAGGGAGAAAGUGGGGGAUCUUCGGACCUCACGCUAUCAGAUGAGCCUAGGUCGGAUUAGCUAGUUGGUGGGGUAAAGGCCUACCAAGGCGACGAUCCGUAACUGGUCUGAGAGGAUGAUCAGUCACACUGGAACUGAGACACGGUCCAGACUCCUACGGGAGGCAGCAGUGGGGAAUAUUGGACAAUGGGCGAAAGCCUGAUCCAGCCAUGCCGCGUGUGUGAAGAAGGUCUUCGGAUUGUAAAGCACUUUAAGUUGGGAGGAAGGGCAGUAAGUUAAUACCUUGCUG
rnacentral:rRNA from 1 species